GGGGAUAAAUUAAUAAAAUAAAAUUAAUAAAAAAAUUUUUAAUAUUGGGGGAUAUUAAAGUAUUUUUUAGAGAAAAAAUAAAAAAUUUUAUAGUGAAUUAGUAUUGUAAAAUAAAUUUGAAAUAAAAUUGAAAAAAAAUUAAAAAAAAAGUAAAUUUAAUUUAUUGUAUCUUGUGUAUCAGAGUUUAUUUAAAAAUAUUUAAUAAAUAAUAAAAUCUCGAAUUUAAAAGAGUUAAUUAAUUAUAAAAGUUAAUGUUGAAUAAUUAUUUUAAAUAAUUAAUUUGAAAUGAAAUGUUAAUCGUUUUUAAAUAUAUCUAGUUUUUUUAGAAAAAAAUUUAAUUUUAAAUUUAAAAAAUUUUUUAAUUAAUUAAUUAAAUAAAAAAUUUUAAAAUUAAAUAUUUUAGGGGAUAAGCUUUAAUUUAUAUAUUUAUAAUAAAAAUAAUUUUGUUAAAAUUUUUAAAAUUUAUAUUGUUUAAAAAUUAUAGUUUAUUAAAAAAAAUUUUAUAAUAAAUAAAAUUUAAUUAUAAUAUGUUUAAUUUUUUAUAAAAAAAUAUUUUUUAAUAAAAAAAUUAUAUAAAUAAUGAUAAAAUUAGUAUAUUAUUAAUUAAAAAUUUAAAUUUAAAUUAAAGUUAAUUUAAAGGAAUUCGGCAAAAUUUUAUAUUCACUUGUUUAUCAAAAACAUGUCUUUUAGAUAAUAAUUUAAAGUCUAAUCUGCCCACUGAUUAAGAAAAAAAUUAAAGGGCUGCAGUAUAUUGACUGUACAAAGGUAGCAUAAUCAUUAGUCUUUUAAUUGGGGACUUGUAUGAAAGAUUUGAUGAAAUAUAAACUGUCUCUAAAUUAUUAAUAAAAAUUAAUUUUUUAGUUAAAAAGCUAAAAUUUAUUUAAAAGACGAGAAGACCCUAUAGAGUUUUAUAAUAAUGAUAAUUAAAAUUAAAUAUUUAAUUAUAAAUUAAAAUUAUUAUUAUUAUUUUGUUGGGGUGAUAGAAAAAUUAAAAAAACUUUUUUUUUUAUGAAUCAUAAAUAAGUGAGUUAUUGAUCCAUUAAUAAUGAUUAUAAGAAAAAAUUACCUUAGGGAUAACAGCGUAAUUUUUUUUUUUAGUACAAAUAAAAAAAAAAGGUUGCGACCUCGAUGUUGGAUUAAGAUAAAAAUUAAAUGCAAAAGUUUAAAAUUUUGAUCUGUUCGAUCAUUAAAAUCUUACAUGAUCUGAGUUCAAACCGGUGUAAGCCAGGUUGGUUUCUAUCUUUAGAAAAUUAAAAUAUUUUAGUACGAAAGGAUCAAGUAUUUUAAAUAAUUUAAAAAAAAAUGAAUAUUAUUAAAAUUAUUUA
rnacentral:rRNA from 1 species